ACGCUGGCGGCGUGCUUAACACAUGCAAGUCGAACGCUGAAGGCCCAGCUUGCUGGGUGGAUGAGUGGCGAACGGGUGAGUAACACGUGAGUAACCUGCCCCCUUCUUUGGGAUAACGCCCGGAAACGGGUGCUAAUACUGGAUAUUCACUGGCCUUCGCAUGGGGGUUGGUGGAAAGGUUUUUUCUGGUGGGGGAUGGGCUCGCGGCCUAUCAGCUUGUUGGUGGGGUGAUGGCCUACCAAGGCUUUGACGGGUAGCCGGCCUGAGAGGGUGACCGGUCACAUUGGGACUGAGAUACGGCCCAGACUCCUACGGGAGGCAGCAGUGGGGAAUAUUGCACAAUGGGCGAAAGCCUGAUGCAGCGACGCCGCGUGAGGGAUGACGGCCUUCGGGUUGUAAACCUCUUUCGCUCAUGGUCAAGCCGCAACAGUGGUUGUGGUGAGGGUAGUGGGUAAAGAAGCGCCGGCUAACUACGUGCCAGCAGCCGCGGUAAUACGUAGGGCGCGAGCGUUGUCCGGAAUUAUUGGGCGUAAAGGGCUUGUAAGCGGUUGGUCGCGUCUGCCGUGAAAUCCUCUGGCUUAACUGGGGGCGUGCGGUGGGUACGGGCUGACUUGAGUGCGGUAGGGGAGACUGGAACUCCUGGUGUAGCGGUGGAAUGCGCAGAUAUCAGGAAGAACACCGGUGGCGAAGGCGGGUCUCUGGGCCGUUACUGACGCUGAGGAGCGAAAGCGUGGGGAGCGAACAGGAUUAGAUACCCUGGUAGUCCACGCUGUAAACGUUGGGCACUAGGUGUGGGGGCCACCCGUGGUUUCUGCGCCGUAGCUAACGCUUUAAGUGCCCCGCCUGGGGAGUACGGCCGCAAGGCUAAAACUCAAAGGAAUUGACGGGGGCCCGCACAAG
rnacentral:rRNA from 1 species